rnacentral:lncRNA from 1 species
UGGAACCACGCGCCGGAUGCAGCAAGCGGAUGCAACAAAAGCACAAAUAUCUUUGGCCGCUAGUACAAAACCAGUACCACGGACAUGGCUGCGUAUGAUUCAAGCGCAACCGGGGGGGCAGUGGCAGGCGCCAAUAAUUCCAGCUGCCGCGCUGCCACUGAGCUGCGACGCACAAACAGCAGUGCCAGCCAGGCAGCUUUGCCGUAUUUGCAUUAGCGUGGCAAACGCAGGUCGAGAGUCCAAACCGGUGCACCGAUUGGUUUUGUUUCGUCUCCUUCGGUAACCACUACUACUUUUUUUUAAUUUUUUUAUAAAGGUUGUUUGGUUUACCGACUAAAGUUUAG